CACGUAGGCACCAAGCGUUGUCCGGAUUUAUUGGGCGUAAAGAGCUUGUAGGCGGUUCGGUAAGUCGGGUGUGAAACCUCUGGCUCAACUCAGAGACGCCACCCGAUACUGCUGUGACUAGAGUGCGGUAGGGGAGCGGGGAAUUCCUGGUGUAGCAGUGAAAUGCGCAGAUAUCAGGAGGAACACCAGUGGCGAAGGCGCCGCUCUGGGCCGUAACUGACGCUGAGAAGCGAAAGCGUGGGUAGCAAACAGG
rnacentral:rRNA from 1 species